GGGGCGGGGCGGGGCAGGGCGGGCAGCGGGGAGCCCGCGGGCCACGGGCGCCGGCUCCCCGGCUGUCAAGC
rnacentral:precursor_RNA from 1 species